UACGUAGGGUGCAAGCGUUGUCCGGAAUUAUUGGGCGUAAAGAGCGUGUAGGCGGUUCGGUAGGUCCGUUGUGAAAACUCGAGGCUCAACCUCGAGACGCCGAUGGAAACCCCCGAACUAGAGUCCGGAAGAGGAGAAUGGAAUUCCUGGUGUAGCGGUGAAAUGCGCAGAUAUCAGGAAGAACACCCGUGGCUAAGGCGGUUCUCUAGUACGGUACUGACGCUGAGACGCGAAAGCGUGGGGAGCGAACAGG
rnacentral:rRNA from 1 species